UGUUGGCUAAAGUCGCUGUGCAUGUUCAUCUGUGGCUGUCGACUAUAGGUGAAGCUGGUACCGAAGUGGUUAAGAAGCCUUCAGCCAGUGGUCUUGCCAUAGUUAGUUUGGUUUUAUACAUUUUAGGGAGACAGGAAUUACACAUAAAGUUAUAAAUCAACACAUGGAAAGUGUACAUUGGUCUGGCCCGAAAAGACAGGACAUCCUGAUGCAGGAUUACAGGUUACAGGUGGGUUAAGAUUCUUGUAUUUGCAAUGGUAAAGAAAUGAAGCUUUGUUUAAAGGCUUGAAACAGUUUUAAGUGAAGAUAAGGAAGUCUGUUAACCAGAGACCAGCCACUGGACAUACACCAAGAUUCAGCCACCUGUUAACCGCGAAGCUUCGUAACACCGGUGUAGCAGCUGAAGAGUAUGGGCUCUGGGGCCUGACUACUGGAUCUGCCUUGGGGCCAGACCCCUUUGCCUCUGAGCCUCGGUUUCCCCAACCCACCCAAGAGCUUUGUGACCUACGGCAAAUUAUCUCCCAUUUGUGCCCAGGUUGCCAUGGGGGCUGAGACUAUGAAUAGAAACACCUGAAGAAGCCAGCACGGAGCACGCUGCUGAGAGCCAGCCUUCUGCUCCAAUUAGUCUUCGGGAGACCUUGGCCCCCGCAGCCCGGAUUCAACUUGUCUACAGCUGAACUCACUAUCUCACUCUAAACUGGCUCUACCCCUGGUUUUCUCAGUCCAAACCUGACCAUCCCUCCAUUCUCCUCCAGCUCCCUAGUCGCCCUCUCCAAAUCCUGUAGCAUUUGCUUUCUACGUCUCUGUGUGGGACUUGAUCCCACAGUGUGCUGCCACUCCAGUCCCCGCUGCCUCUGCCCAGGUGCAGGUGAUUCGAUCCUGGCUGUCAGAGCAGCUUCCUGGCCGGCCUCCAGCAUUGCCCGCUCCAGUUUUGGGUCCUCAGCGCCCGGUUGGCCCGGCACUCGGGGCUGUGUGGCACAUGGCAGUAAGUGGGUAUCUGCUGCAGCCCUGUGCGAGCAGGGCCAGGUCUGCUCACUGCGAGGAGGGUGGCAGGCCACCCACGCCUGCCUGCACCGCCCACGCACAUCCUUGUCCCCUCUCAGGGUCUAGUUCAAGAACUAGUGGUGCCUUCCAAAGCCCCCUUUUAAAAUAUGUGUUUGUUAGCUACCCAUCACCACUGAGUAAAGCAGGACAUAUUUUGAGAAUGCUUUGCUCUUUCAUUUCCAACCGCGUAGACAGUACAAUGAGUGCAGUUAUUGGAAUGAAAUGUGAGUAGAAGUAACAGCCCAACUUUGGACACAAAGCAACCAAAGAAUAUCCGAGUGAAACUGCUCACAAUUUCCUUGCAGGACAGCCAAGAAAUACAAACUAUUAAUCUUCUGGCCAUCUUGUAAGUUUUUAGUUAGAAAUAAUUAACAAAAAGCUGACAUCAGUUAAAAUAUACUAAUUUAGAUUUAUAAGACUUAGAUUUUGAUUUGCAAAAUCUGACUUGGGAAAAUAAACAUGGGGAAGACAAUAGCUACAAAAGAAAACCCACAAGGGCGAAAGUCAGAAUUGGUUAAAUUGAAUUAAAUUUUCACCAUAAAAUCUCAUGGAAAAAGCAAUCUUAAUGAAAGUAUUUUAAAGUAAAUAUUAAAACGAAAACAGAAAGAAGCAAUUUAAUUGCUCUGUAUAGGAAACUGAUCAAGGAAUUAAACUGGCUUAAUGAAGUAACAGCUCACUCCAGCGGAAUGCUUUACUGAUUAAAUCUGUGGGGUAUGAUUCUUAUUAAAAAUUUAUUUUUUUUAUUUUUCUUACAGAGAAAGGAAAUAGGCAGUUAUUAAAAAUUGAGCUGCCACCUGGGCUUUAGGACUGAGCAGACUCCGAGAUACAGGAAUUAUCUGUUGCCAGAUGCUGUCUCAGGGCCUCCAGCGGGCCCCAGCUGGACCAUCGCGAGGCAGAACUGCAGGGCUCGUGUGGGCCCAGGCCCUCUCGCCUUUGCCUUGCUAUGGGCCCAGCAGAGACUGAACACCUAGUUCAGAGGACAUCAAGUGACCAUGUGGCCUGAGCUGCCCACUACCAACUGAGUGUUCCCACCCACCAAGCCAACUAGGAGUAAUUAACUUAGUUCAGAGAUAGGUAGUAAAUGUCUCUUGGACAGGAGUACCGAUUGACACUUUUUGUUCUAAAUUGCAGAGAGGGUAGGAUAAUAUUUGCUUGGACAAAGGGUAGUUGUAUCUUGUUCCAUGGAGACACAAAGUUAUUUUUUACCAUCGUAUGGAAGUUCAAGUAUGUGUGUAAGCACGUAUGUGUGGGCCAAGCUGGUCCCCUGCAUUAUUGUCUCAGCAGCAAAGCCACCACCCUCUGAACCCCGGCCUGGGCUGCUGCUGACACUUCUUCAGCAGCUCGUUCCCUACAGGACAGGCUGCAGGGCCAGAGGAGAAAAAGGAGGGAUGCCGCCUUCCUGUUUGCUGCUGCUUGGUGAAACCACAGCAACGGGACACUGACUGCUGCGCUCCAGCGCUGGUUCGCUUGCAGUCUCUCCACUCCCAGGAGCAGCCUCGCUGAGCCCUCAGAGGCAGCGGCACCAACCAGACAGCAUGGCCUUCUCUGCAGGGCCCUCCUGAGUCUCCAUCCUACGCUGACCUCUUCCCAGCACUCCGUCCCAGGAGCAAUGACUGCACCUGUGAUGCCUCAGUGUCCCACCCAUUUUCUUUACUAUGUGCUUGACAACUCCUGAUGGGACCCUGAUGGAUACACCUACACACCUUGUGCACUAGCCUGUGUUGUGCACCUUGUCUCGCCAUCUGUGAGCACCAUCUGGGAAGGGACUAACACCUUCUGAGGAUCCCACGCCCUGCCUGAUGCUUAAGUGAUCAAUACUUGUUUGUUGCUUA